rnacentral:rRNA from 1 species
UACGGAGGGUGCAAGCGUUGUCCGGAUUUACUGGGUUUAAAGGGUCCGUAGGCGGGCAUUUAAGUCAGUGGUGAAAUCCUGCGGCUCAACCGUAGAACUGCCAUUGAUACUGAAUGUCUUGAGUAUAGUUGAGGUAGGCGGAAUUUAUGAUGUAGCGGUGAAAUGCAUAGAUAUCAUAAAGAACACCGAUUGCGAAGGCAGCUUACUAAACUAUUACUGACGCUGAUGGACGAAAGCGUGGGGAGCGAACAGG